UGUGUCUAUUUCUCCAUAUUUUUCUAAAGAGUUUCGUUAUUCGGAUGGGAAAAAAGCAGAGGUGUGGCGAGCGAUAAUGCAAGAGUUCGAGGACGAGAUAAAAGCCAUAAUAAUACGCGCUCUUUAAUGGAUGAACUGAUAAACUGAAUAACAUUUUGCCAAUGAAUUAUUUUCUCGUCUAUUAACUGCUGGCACUUCGCGGUCGAGCCAAAACUAUCCAAACGUUUUUUCUCAUUUUCUUUUUCCGUCUCCCUUUCCGUUUCACUUUUCGCCAUGGGCAAUCACCUCGCUUCCGGUGAAAAUUGCCCUGCAGUUAAACCGAGGGAUGCGAAAUCCUCUCGCUAGCCAAACAUUCGCGUCACGCUUUUUCUUAUUUCGCAUCUACACAAAGUCGUACGAGCUUAAUACACGCGCGUGCACGCACAUUUGGAAACGCGCACGAUCAUCUUAAGCGAACGUUACUCGAGUCUAAAAUAAACGUUUUCGUCGACGGCCUCCAUGCGAUCCGGGCUAAAAUAAAUCCGAGAUGCAUUUUCUCUCUCCCUCGGUGUUUCUCUAACUCCUCUUUCUCACAACCCCGCCCAUCUCACUCGCGGAAUACUUCUCGGCAAUUAUUAUCGCGUCUCGCGCGCGCGUUUGCUUCUUAGACACUUGUAGAUUUACUGGAAAAUGAUGAACGAGCGGCGCUAUCGUUCGGCUAUAUCCGCUCGCGAAAACACGUUGUUGGAAUUUUAGUGCUCCAGACCACCCCGAAGCCUUCUCGCGCGUUUAUAAUCGCGGCGACGGGUUAACUAUUUUUGCGGAAAACGAGAAAAAAGAGAGACAAGCUUUCGCCCCGCGGUGUGCUGAACUUUCCGCGGACUUGGACAGUGGAUUCAUUUCCGUUCGAGUAUUUUGAGCAAAAAUUACGGUGCUCCCGUACCGUCAAUUCUGGAAUACUUAUUUUCAGGAAUUUUUCAAAGUUUCUCUUUCUCAACGAGAUUCCGAAAUCCGAUUAAUUGCGCUGCUCCGAUCACCGCGUCACACUAAUUUGCAUUUACGACGCUCGUGACUCGUGAAAAUUAAUAACACAGCUGCUAUUUACACUUGCCAGCAAAGUUGACAAAUUGUUUUGUAGAGCGAGCGCCGGAAAAAAACUCAAACUUUGAGUUCAACGCUAUUAUUAGAUUCGAGACUGACAGAACGAAGGAUUUCUCCUCUUUAAUUUCAUGAGGCUUGAGAUAAGACGAAGACAAAAUUCAUGAGCUGUAACCGAAGCUUUUUGUGAUUGCUACAAAAUAGUUGACCGCUAAGAAAAACGGGUCCAUUAAGUAUAAAAAUAAAAAAUAAUGAAAUAAACUUUUGCUGAAAGCCGACGCGCGGUGGGAGCAAAUUUUAUUUUCUAUUAGUUUUGCCAAAUUCGUUGUACUAAAUUGGUUUCGUGACAUAAUCACCGGACGACCUCGGACAUAUUUUCUCUAAAUCUUACUUCGUGUAUGCGAGCUGUGACAAGCUGACGACUCAUGGAUUAUUCGAAUAAGAAAAAGGAUGAAUGGUCGUCGAUCGUGAGGGACAAGCCUAUUGCGAUCUUUGAAAAUUUAUUCAAUACUAUAACCGACGAGUUAUCAAAUCGAGUAAUUCAGAAGAAAAUGAAUCAGAGUGAAGGCGCAUAUCUACGCGCGAAAAUGAAUUGAAGGAAAUGACUGCGGCGUUACGAUUUUUCGUUCUCAACGUUCGACUUCGAUCGUACGAGAAAAUCAGUCAAAUUUAUUUUCAUUACGACAAUUUCGAUGCGAAUGAAAGUUCAUCAUCGCGAUACGACGACCUUCCCAACGUGAUUUCUAUUCGGAGGCGAGUUCUCUCAUGGCAGCCGUUCAAACCCAUGAAUAGAGAGGUCACUUUACAGUACGUGGUGACGACGAAAACGAGUGAGAGGAAGAAUCUAAGCGAGGAAAAGAGAAAAGGAGUGCGGAGGGUGAAUGAAUCUUAGACGUAGCCGAACCUCUCGUAGUAAACGAAGAAUCUGGCACUAGGAAGUGUUGCGUGCUGGUCAAGAGCAAAGACCGGGUCAGAAUGCGGGUCUCGUGAUCGAGCUAUCUGUCUUUCGAUGUUUUACCACAUGCAGAACGUCCGAGUUCAACUGUUCAGUAUUCAACACGUAAAAAACUAUUCUUAAGUAAAGUGUGAAAAAAAACGAGGCGCAAAAAUUUAUAAUGGAAUUAUAAGUGAGGCUGGCGCGACUGCAGCUGGCCCAUAGCUUGAAAACACAAGUAGAGGUUAUUUACGGGCGUGUGGAACGAGUCUGGGUGCGUGGAAGAAUUGAUAGGAUUCCAAAGGUAUGCGAAGCAUCAGUACAAUCAACAGAUUCGAUCGGAGUUGAUUCAGAGACAAGAAGAUGCAAAUUUUCCAACCCGAACGUCAGCGUCAGCGAUAGAAGAAAAAACGAAAAUGUUGCAAAGAGAAAAUCGAUGGAUGAAUGACGCCACGAGCAUGUUGAAGGGAAAUUCAUGUGCCUCGCUAUCUCAGGAAUGAUAUUUGAGUGGAUAACAUUUGUGGGCAUACGAAUGACCAAACUUGUAAAAAAAACUGAAUAAAAGCUUUUUCU